rnacentral:rRNA from 1 species
CUACCUAUAAGACUGGGAUAACUUCGGGAAACCGGAGCUAAUACCGGAUCAACAUAUUGAACCGCAUGGUUCAAUAGUGAAAGGCGGCUUUGCUGUCACUUAUAGAUGGAUCCGCGCCGUAUUAGCUAGUUGGUAAGGUAACGGCUUACCAAGGCAACGAUACGUAGCCGACCUGAGAGGGUGAUCGGCCACACUGGAACUGAGACACGGUCCAGACUCCUACGGGAGGCAGCAGUAGGGAAUCUUCCGCAAUGGGCGAAAGCCUGACGGAGCAACGCCGCGUGAGUGAUGAAGGUCUUCGGAUCGUAAAACUCUGUUAUCAGGGAAGAACAAAUGUGUAAGUAACUGUGCACAUCUUGACGGUACCUGAUCAGAAAGCCACGGCUAACUACGUGCCAGCAGCCGCGGUA